rnacentral:rRNA from 1 species
CGAUACUUUUACGACGUAGCAUGAUGUAGCGGCUGCCUGUUCGCCCUUGGAUCCUGACUUUGAUUCUGGCUCAGGACGAACGCUGGCGGCGUGCUUAACACAUGCAAGUCGAACGAGAAUCUGUGGAUCGAGGAUUCGUCCAAGUGAAGCAGAGGACAGUGGCGGACGGGUGAGUAACGCGUGAGGAACCUGCCUUUCAGAGGGGGACAACAGUUGGAAACGACUGCUAAUACCGCAUGAUACAUUUGGGUGGCAUCAUCUGAAUGUCAAAGAUUUAUCGCUGAAAGAUGGCCUCGCGUCUGAUUAGCUAGUUGGUGGGGUAACGGCCCACCAAGGGCGACGAUCAGUAGCCGGACUGAGAGGUUGACCGGCCACAUUGGGACUGAGAUACGGCCCAGACUCCUACGGGAGGCAGCAGUGGGGAAUAUUGGGCAAUGGGCGCAAGCCUGACCCAGCAACGCCGCGUGAAGGAAGAAGGCUUUCGGGUUGUAAACUUCUUUUAAGAGGGAAGAGCAGAAGACUGUACCUCUAGAAUAAGCCACGGCUAACUACGUGCCAGCAGCCGCGGUAAUACGUAGGUGGCAAGCGUUGUCCGGAUUUACUGGGUGUAAAGGGCGUGCAGCCCGGGAAUGCAAGUCAGAUGUGAAAUCCAUGGGCUUAACCCAUGAACUGCAUUUGAAACUGUAUUUCUUGAGUACUGGAGAGGCAAUCGGAAUUUCCUAGUGUAGCGGUGAAAUGCGUAGAUAUUAGGAGGAACACCAGUGGCGAAGGCGGAUUGCUGGACAGCAACUGACGGUGUGGCGCGAAAGUGUGGGGAGCAAACAGGAUUAGAUACCCUGGUAGUCCACACUGUAAACGAUGAAUACUAGGUGUGCGGGGACUGACCCCCUGCGUGCCGC